rnacentral:rRNA from 1 species
AGAGUUUGAUCCUGGCUCAGAUUGAACGCUGGCGGCAUGCCUAACACAUGCAAGUCGAACGGGGGUAGCGAUACCCUAGUGGCGGACGGGUGAGUAACGCGUAGGAAUCUGCCCCGUAGUGGGGGACAACCUGGGGAAACCCAGGCUAAUACCGCAUGAGCUCGGGAGAGGAAAGCGGGGGACCUUCGGGCCUCGCGCUAUGGGAUGAGCCUACGUCCGAUUAGCUAGUUGGCGGGGUAAGGGCCCACCAAGGCGAUGAUCGGUAGCUGGUCUGAGAGGACGAUCAGCCACACUGGGACUGAGACACGGCCCAGACUCCUACGGGAGGCAGCAGUGGGGAAUAUUGGACAAUGGGCGCAAGCCUGAUCCAGCAAUGCCGCGUGGGUGAAGACGGCCUGCGGGUUGUAAAGCCCUUUAGGCGGGGAGGAACGGCGUCGUGCGAACAGUGCGGCGUUCUGACGUUACCCGCGGAAUAAGCACCGGCUAACUCCGUGCCAGCAGCCGCGGUAAUACGGAGGGUGCGAGCGUUAAUCGGAAUUACUGGGCGUAAAGCGUGCGUAGGCGGUUUGGUCAGUCAGCCGUGAAAGCCCCGGGCUUAACCUGGGAAUGGCGGUUGAGACGGCUGGACUUGAGUGGGCUAGAGGAUCGUGGAAUUCCGGGUGUAGCGGUGAAAUGCGUAGAGAUCCGGAGGAACACCGAUGGCGAAGGCAGCGGUCUGGGGCCACACUGACGCUGAGGCACGAAAGCGUGGGGAGCAAACAGGAUUAGAUACCCUGGUAGUCCACGC